rnacentral:rRNA from 1 species
AGAUUCAUAGUCGAAAGGGCAACAGCCCAGAUCGUCAGCUAAGGUCCCUAAAUGUAAGUUAAGUGGUAAAGGAUGUGGGAUUGCACAGACAACCAGGAUGUUGGCUUAGAAGCAGCCACUCAUUCAAAGAGUGCGUAAUAGCUCACUGGUCGAGUGAUCCUGCGCCGAAGAUUUCCGGGGCUAAAACUUACUACCGAAGCUACGGCAUCAGUAAUGAUGGGUAGGGGAGCUUCCCAUACGGGUUGAAGCAUGACCGUAAGGACAUGUGGACAGUAUGGG